rnacentral:rRNA from 1 species
GCUUGGCGGCAGGCUUACUCAUGCAAUUCGAGCGCCCCGCAAGGGGAGCGGCAGACGGGUGAGUAACACGUGGGAACGUACCCUUUGGUUCGGAACAACCCAGGGAAACUUGGGCUAAUACCGGAUAAGUCCGUAAGGAGAAAGAUUCAUCGCCAAAGGAUCGGCCCGCGUCUGAUUAGCUAGUUGGUAGGGUAAUGGCCUACCAAGGCUACGAUCAGUAGCUGGUCUGAGAGGAUGAUCAGCCACAUUGGGACUGAGACACGGCCCAAACUCCUACGGGAGGCAGCAGUGGGGAAUUUUUCGCAAUGGGGGCAACCCUGACGAAGCAAUGCCGCGUGGAUGAUGAAGUAUCUCGGUACGUAAAAUCCUUUCGACGGGGACGAAGCCGCAAGGUUGACGGUACCCGUAGAAGAAGCCCCGGCUAACUCCGUGCCAGCAGCCGCGGUAAUACGGGGGGGGCAAGCGUUGUUCGGAAUUACUGGGCGUAAAGGGUGCGUAGGCGGCUUUCUAAGUCGGAUGUGAAAACUCUGGGCUCAACCCAGAGCCUGCAUCUGAAACUGGAGAGCUAGGGUUUUGGAGGGGGAAGCGGAAUUCCUGGGUGUAGCGGUGAAAUGCGUAAAUAUCAAGAAG